rnacentral:rRNA from 1 species
GACGAACGCUGGCGGCGUGCUUAACACAUGCAAGUCGAACGAAGUGGCGAACGGGUGAGUAACGCGUAAUCAACCUGCCCUUCAGAGGGGCACAACAGUUGGAAACGACUGCUAAUACAGCAUACUGAAGGAGGGGAUUGCGUCUGAUUAGAUGGUUGGAGGGGUAACGGCCCACCAAGGCGAUGAUCGGUAGCCGGUCUGAGAGGGUGGACGGCCAAAUUGGGACUGGAACACGGCCCAGAAUCCUACGGGAGGCAGCAGUGGGGAAUCUUCCGCAAUGGACGAAAGGCUUGCGGAGCAAAGCCGCGUGAGUGAUGACGGCCUUCGGGUUGUAAAGCUCUGUUAAUCGGGACGCGGUACCGGAAUAGAAAGCCACGGCUAACUACGUGCCAGCCGCCGCGGUAAUAC